AAUCCUGAGGAGCGUUGCGACGACCUCGUGGUUCCCGCCCUGCACGGCAUCGUGCACACCCCGCGUGAAACCCGGUUCGCCAGGCUCAGGAAUCCUUGUUCAAGCGCCGCGCCUUGCGCGUCGCUACAGCAACGGCGCUCACCUUUG
rnacentral:ncRNA from 2 species